GACGAACCGUACGAACGUUAUUCGGAACACUGGUGCUUAAAGGGUGCGUAGGCGGAUCUUUAAGUCAGGGGUGAAAUCCUGGAGCUCAACUCCAGAACUGCCUUUGAUACUGGGGAUCUCGAGUCCGGAAGAGGUGAGUGGAACUCCGAGUGUAGAGGUGAAAUUCGUAGAUAUUCGGAAGAACACCAGUGGCGAAGGCGGCUCACUGGUCCGGUACUGACGCUGAGGUGCGAAAGCGUGGGGAGCAAACAGG
rnacentral:rRNA from 1 species